rnacentral:lncRNA from 1 species
UUAAAUGACCUAUAUGCUAACGAGACUUUCAACCGUGCACAUGACUUAUCAAAUGUUUCUGUUUCAAGUCAUCCACUUGGAAGUGCUCUCUUAUUUUCCGAUUCUUCUUCNCAAUGAAACCUUGAGUGCCAGUUGAAGCAGUAUAUGGACUGCAUAUCGACAUGAAAAGGUUAAUAGUUCAUCUUAGUUGGGCUGGUUAAUGAUAUUUGUAGUUUGGCUCAGAAGCUCAGGUGCAAUUUUUCUCAAGAACAUCAUACGGAUUUUUUCCUAUUCCGGGUAUGUUAAGGCUAUCCCUUCUUUCUUUUGGCAUGAUCCAUACGAUAUGAACGAAACGUGUAAAUGCACAAACUCCAUAAGUGACUCUACUCAUAGAAGUAAUAGAAAUAUCUAUGUUCUUUAAUUCCCAUGUGCCAUAAUAUUUUAUCAUCUGUUCAUGGGUCUCAAAAAAAUACGAAAGUUGAAAAGAUGUUACUUUAUGAUAUUGCUCAAGAGGCAAAGUGGUCUUAUGACCUUCCGAAUGAUUUUAUUGACGUACUUUUCAUGAAUUGCAUUCAUGUGCAUUGACCCAUGACCAGAUGUCGUUAUAUAUGUGUAUAUAUGUAAAUAUAUGUAUAUGGGAUAUGGGAAAAGGUAACGGCGUUAUAUACGCACCACCGCCUGAUCAGCUGGUAUAUGAUGAUGAUGUUGCCCACAGUGGCCGAAAUAUGAUUCAAAUAGUGGCCGAAAUAUGAUUCAAAUAGUGUUAUAUACGCAUAUAUAUGUAAAUAUGAUUCAAAUGGUGUUUUAUACGCGUAUAUAUGUAUGUAUAUAUGUAUAUGGGAAAGGUUAUGGCGUUAUACACGUACCACAACCUGAUCAGCUGGUAUACGAUGAUGAUUUUGCCCGCAGUGGCCGAUAUGAUAUGAUAUGAUGGGAUGCCCUCAGAGGCUGAUGAUGUUAUGAAAUAUGUACCUAUGCACGACAUGACAUUCAUACGCAUACGCAUGAUGCUAAAAGUAAUUUAUGAUUUACAAAGUUAUUCAAACUUACAGGUUGAGUCAUGUACUCUAUAUGUCUUGCAUGUCUCUUAUGUAUUUAUUUAUGUGCCUUACAUACUCAGUACAUUAUUCAUACUGACGUCCCUUUUGCCUGGGAUGCUGCGUUUCAUGCCCGCAGGUCCCGAUAGAUAGGUCGAGAGCCCUCCAUGUAGGCUAUCAGCUCAACAGAAGAUAUUGGUGCGCUCCAUUUUCUUCGGAGUUGCUUGUUUGGUUAGUAUGAGUUAGACGUAUAUUGUUUGGUAUGGCGGAACUCUGUCUUGACCUUUAUGAUAUUUAUGUAUUCUUAGAAGCUUGUAGACAUAUAUUGUGUACAUGAAAGAUUGUACGGCCUUGUCGGCCUAUGUUUUAAGUUUAUAAAUGAUUAUGUUGGAAUAUUAGGC